rnacentral:rRNA from 1 species
UCGGCGGGGUCACGCCCCGGGUGCGUCGCAGCCCCGGAACCAGGCGCCCGCCGGAGGGACCAACCAAACUCUUUUCUGUAGUCCCCUCGCGGACGUUAUUUCUUACAGCUCUGAGCAAAAAUUCAAAAUGAAUCAAAACUUUCAACAACGGAUCUCUUGGUUCUGGCAUCGAUGAAGAACGCAGCGAAAUGCGAUAAGUAAUGUGAAUUGCAGAAUUCAGUGAAUCAUCGAAUCUUUGAACGCACAUUGCGCCCGCCAGUAUUCUGGCGGGCAUGCCUGUCCGAGCGUCAUUUCAACCCUCGAACCCCUCCGGGGGGUCGGCGUUGGGGAUCGGGAACCCCUAAGACGGGAUCCCGGCCCCGAAAUACAGUGGCGGUCUCGCCGCAGCCUCUCCUGCGCAGUAGUUUGCACAACUCGCACCGGGAGCGCGGCGCGUCCACGUCCGUAAAACACCCAACUUCUGAAAUGUUGACCUCGGAUCAGGUAGGAAUACCCGCUGAACUUAAGCAUAUCAAAAGCGGGAGGA